rnacentral:rRNA from 1 species
AGAGUUUGAUCCUGGCUCAGAUUGAACGCUGGCGGCAGGCCUAACACAUGCAAGUCGAACGGUAACAGGAAGCAGCUUGCUGCUUCGCUGACGAGUGGCGGACGGGUGAGUAAUGUCUGGGAAACUGCCCGAUGGAGGGGGAUAACUACUGGAAACGGUAGCUAAUACCGCAUAACGUCGCAAGACCAAAGAGGGGGACCUUCGGGCCUCUUGCCAUCGGAUGUGCCCAGAUGGGAUUAGCUAGUUGGUGAGGUAACGGCUCACCAAGGCGACGAUCCCUAGCUGGUCUGAGAGGAUGACCAGCCACACUGGAACUGAGACACGGUCCAGACUCCUACGGGAGGCAGCAGUGGGGAAUAUUGCACAAUGGGCGCAAGCCUGAUGCAGCCAUGCCGCGUGUAUGAAGAAGGCCUUCGGGUUGUAAAGUACUUUCAGCGGGGAGGAAGGGGAUGUGGUUAAUAACCGCAUUCAUUGACGUUACCCGCAGAAGAAGCACCGGCUAACUCCGUGCCAGCAGCCGCGGUAAUA